rnacentral:tRNA from 1 species
AAUGAAAUGCCUGAAAAAGGAUUACUUUGAUAGAGUAAAUCAUACACUAAAGUGUUUUCGUUA